rnacentral:RNase_P_RNA from 1 species
UGAUUUUGGAUAGGUGAUCGCCCUUGAAGUGUUUGCGCCUUCAGGCGAGGAAAGUCCGGACACGGAAGAACACGGUGAUGGCGAACGGCCAUCGAUCAAGCUGAUGAUUAGGGACAGUGCCACAGAGAAGAAACCGCCGAACGGCUCCUUCGGGAGCGCGUGGCAAGGGUGAAAAGGUGCGGUAAGAGCGCACCGCUUGUUUGGUGACAAACAAGGCAUGGAAAACCCCACCGCGUGCAAGCGCAAGCAGUCCUUGUUGGGAAACCAACUCCCGUUGUUCGCGGGCAGGACGGGUCGCGUGCUUCGAGGCCAGCGGCAACGUUGGUCCAGAGAGAAAUGAUCGCCACCAGCGAAAGCUGGAACAAAAUCCGGCUUAUUUCCAAAUUCAGCCA